GAUGAAGAACGUAGUGAAAUGCGAUAAGUAAUGUGAAUUGCAGAAUUCAGUGAAUCAUCGAAUCUUUGAACGCACAUUGCGCCCGCCAGUAUUCUGGCGGGCAUGCCUGUCUGAGCGUCAUUUCAACCCUCAUGCCCCUAGGGCGUGGUGUUGGGGAUCGGCCAAAGCCCGCGAGGGACGGCCGGCCCCUAAAUCUAGUGGCGGACCCGUCGUGGCCUCCUCUGCGAAGUAGUGAUAUUCCGCAUCGGAGAGCGAUGAGCCCCUGCCGUUAAACCCCCAUCUUUCCAAGGUUGACCUCAGAUCAGGUAGGAAUACCCGCUGAACUUAAGCAUAUCAAUAAGCGGAGGA
rnacentral:misc_RNA from 1 species